AGCCGGGCAUCUUGGCCACUCUCCUGUGGAGGGUUAGGUGUGGACAAAAAGUAUUUGGCAAAAAGAGUUUGAAACCAGCAAUGAGACCCUCCCCAGCUCUGCCCUUUCUACCUCCCACAUGAGAUGCUUUUCUUUUAGUAAAAGGGAGGGGCCUGGGCCAGCCUGGCCUGCUGCUGCUCCCACACCUCCAGGACUCCUCCACAGGCAGGGUGGGGCCGCCAUCAGCUCUGCCCAGCAAACUGUGGGCACAAGGGCUGGGGGUCAGGCUGGGCUGAGGCAGCUCCUAUGGAGUGACACACAGACCCUUUGCUUUGAGCCAGUGGGAGGUGGGUGUUACUGCAGCGCAGUCCCGGCCUUGGUGAUGCCACCAGCAUGUGCGGCACUCACCUGCACUGCAGGACCACCCCCUCUGUAGGACCACCUGCCUCCUCGCCCCACACACGAGCCCUUGGGGGCACCUCUUGGCCCUUGUGCCUGUGUGGAGCUUGAUGCCUAUUUGAAUAAAUUAUUAGAAAAAUUAUUAGGUGAG
rnacentral:lncRNA from 10 species